AAUGGGUUCUGCCCGCGCAGGUUCGAUUCCUGCCGUUGUCGAAAAAAUUUUUGAGUAAGGUAUAUAUAUAUAUAUAAAAUAU